UUUGUAAUUCUCGUCUCUGCGAGUACCGUAACAAAAUCGACAUUUGAUUAUCUUUAUCAUCUCCGUAAAUAUUCAAAAGGUUUAUCUCCGUGGGAUAGCCUGUAUACGAGACUGUUGUGACGACUAGGACGGCGGCGACGACGGUGCGAACUUCAAACGCUUUACGCGCCGUAUUAUACAGAGGUUUAUAGCGGUUUAAUACCCGGGUGACUGUACACUCGAGUCGGAAGACCCGCCAAAAGGGGACCGUCGUCGUCGCGCGUACGGUAUUAUCAUCAUUAUUAUAAAUAAUGCGUAUCGUAUAAUCAGUUUAUCGUGGA